AGAGUUUGAUCAUGGCUCAGAUUGAACGCUAGCGGGAUGCUUUACACAUGCAAGUCGAACGGCAGCACGAAAGGAGCUUGCUCUUUUUGGUGGCGAGUGGCGAACGGGUGAGUAAUGUAUCGGAACGUACCCAGUAGCGGGGGAUAACUACGCGAAAGCGUGGCUAAUACCGCAUACGCCCUACGGGGGAAAGGGGGGGAUCGCAAGACCUCUCACUAUUGGAGCGGCCGAUAUCGGAUUAGCUAGUUGGUGGGGUAAAGGCUCACCAAGGCAACGAUCCGUAGCUGGUUUGAGAGGACGACCAGCCACACUGGGACUGAGACACGGCCCAGACUCCUACGGGAGGCAGCAGUGGGGAAUUUUGGACAAUGGGGGAAACCCUGAUCCAGCCAUCCCGCGUGUGCGAUGAAGGCCUUCGGGUUGUAAAGCACUUUUGGCAGGGAAGAAACGGCGCUGACUAAUACUUGGCGCAACUGACGGUACCUGCAGAAUAAGCACCGGCUAACUACGUGCCAGCAGCCGCGGUAAUUC
rnacentral:rRNA from 1 species